rnacentral:misc_RNA from 1 species
UCCGGUUUGUCACCGGCAGUCUCCUAUGAGUCCCCAACUGAAUGCUGGCAACAUAGGACAAGGGUUGCGCUCGUUGCGGGACUUAACCCAACAUCUCACGACACGAGCUGACGACAGCCAUGCACCACCUAUCGCCGGCCCCGAAGGACACCGUAUCUCUACGGCUUUUCCGGCGUAGUUCAACCCAGGUAAGGUUCUUCGCGUCGCCUCGAAUUAAGGCACAUGCACCGCCGCUUGUGCGGGCCCCCGUCGAUUCCUUUGAGUUUUAGCCUUGCGGCCGUACUCCCCAGGCGGGGUGCUUAAUGCGUUAGCUGCGGCACGGACGGAGUCGACACCGCCCACACCUAGCACCCAUCGUUUACGGCGUGGACUAC